AGGCAGCGACGUGGGUGCAAUUCGAACCUCCGUUCUGUGCAGAUCGACGGCCAUUUCCGGUCGGAGGAUUUCAAAUCAGAAGUCAAUCUUUACUAAUCGACGGCGAUUUCUUGGCGGCGGACGUCGGCGGCUGCAAAUCAACGGCCAUUUAAGGGCGGCGGCUUUGAAACCGGAAUUUAGCGGCUUUGAUCCAAACCAAAGGACUUCGACGGUGGAGAUUUUGAAUCCGGCUCAUUAUGCCUCGUUCAAAGAAAGCACCUGCUAAUUUGGAUAACCAAGGGCGUCCGAAUGAUGACAAUGGGGAACGAUUUGAAAAGUUCUACAAUAUUUUAGCAGAGAAGAUUGCUGAAAAUAUUGUUAAACGGCGUGGAACAUGUAUAAUAAUAAGGACUUUAUAUAUUUUCAUUGAUUUUAAUUUAAUUUGUUGUAAAAAUAUUCAUUUAUAUUUGGUUAUUAAAUAAAUGGGAAUAGCUCCAAAAAUAAUGAAAAUGACGAUGCAAGA